UUCAAGAUGAAUAGCUUCAAGAUUCCUGUGAUUUUUCAUUUCUUUUUUCUUUAAAUAGCAUAUCAGGGUCCCCCAUUUCAGCCUAAAUAGCAUUCACUUCAGCAAUUCAGACCUGUCUGGGUGUGUGUCACAGAAAGGUGGGGCAAGGGUCACUUUGGAAUGGUAUUUUUUUGGGCUGGAGUCUAUACCCUGGAAUGGAAUGGGCUUGGGUUCUUCAGACGUCAGCAGGCUCCUCCCUUGGCUCCAGGUAAAAAGAAGCCGCACACUGAAGCUGCAAGAGCGUUUCAGAAGCUAGAAGAGAUGCGAACAACACGAUUUCAUGCCAGAGAAAAGUCUUUAUCUGGAGAAUCAGAAGUCCAGAAAGUUGAAAAGACUUGCCCAAAGCUACAGUGGAACCGAGGCUUGAACCAAGAUCUCCUGACUCCCAAGCCAGGAUAUUUCUGCUCUGCCAGGGGGCCAUUCCAUCUGAAAAGCUAAAAGCUGAGAGAGGAUAUUUCUACAUUCUAGAAAAUCACCAAGGAUAUGAACCCUGGUCCCUAACGAAUGGAAAGAGACGAGUCAAGAAUCAAAGUUAUAUGAAAGGUCACCACCUUCUAAGGACCCACGUAGCUUCGAGGGAGAUUACAGAGCAAAGGGUCAUGACCGCCUGCUGAGGAAUAGGGUUCAGGCCCUAACCUGACAGUUUCCAUCCUUCAUCUCUCUCCUGUGUCUGAGUGACAGCUGUCCUCAUGUCACUCUCAUCUGUAAUCUACUACGUUUUCCCAGGAGUACCUAAUAGCAGUCAAUCUGAAAAAGGCACCAGAGGGAGCUCCAUGAAUUGGAACAGAGCCUUUGUUUAUGACUUUUACUGGGGGCAGCCCCACAUUCCUUUCCCCAAGAGCCAUAAUAGGUCCCCGAGACCGAAGAGCCUACCUUGCCUUUCUAACCCACACUUCUUUCAGGGGAAGAGAGAUGCUGUACCCAAAACAAGCACUCUACACUUUCUCAUUGGUUCAGAGGGUGUAAGAUGCACCUCUAGCAAUCUAGCCUGUAUUCGUCCAUUUUCACUCUGCUGAUAAAAACAUACCCUAGACUGGAAAAUUUACAAAAGAAAGAGGUUUGAUUGGACUUAUAGCUCUACAUGGCUGGGGAAGCUUCACAAUCAUGGUGGAAGGCAAAGAGGAAAAUGUCCCAUCUCACAUGGAUGGCAGCAGGCAAAGACGUAAUGAGAAAAACACAAAAACAGAAACCUGUGAUAAAACCUCAGAUCUCAUGAGACCUAUCCACUACCACAAGGACAGUACAGGGGAAACUGCACCUGUGAUUCAAUUGUCUCCCACUGGGUCCCUCACAUAAUACACAAGAAUUAUGGAAGUAUAAUUCAAGAUGAGAUCUGGUUGGGGUCACAGAGCCAAACCAUACCAUUCUGCCCCUGGCCUCUGCCAAAUCUCAUAUCCUCACAUUUCAAAACUAAUCAUGCCUUCCCAACAGUCCCCUAAAGUUUUAACUCACUUCAACAUUAACUCAAAAGUCCAGAGUCUAAAGUCUCAUCUGAGAUAAGGCAAAUCUCUUCCUCCUAGGAGCCUGUAAAAUUGAAAGUAAUCUAGUUACUUCCUAGAUAUAAUGAGGGUACAGGCAUUGGGUAAAUAUGGCCAUUCCAAAUGGGAGAAAUUGGCCAAAACACAAGGGUUACAGGCCCCAUGCAAGUCUGAAAUUCUAGUGGUGCAGUCAAAUCUUAAUGAUCUCCUUUGACUCCAUGUCUUACAUCCAGGUCACACUGAUGCAAGAAGUGGGCUCUCAUAGUUUUGGGCAGCUCUGCCCUUGUGGCUUUUCAGGGAAUAGCCUUGUUCUUGGCUGCUUUCAUGGGCUGGCAUUACCUGUCUGUGGCUUUUCCAGGCACAUAGUGCAAGCUGUCGGUGGAUCUACCAUUCUGGGGUCUGAAGGACAGUAGCCCUGUUCUCACAGCUCCACCAGGCAGUGCCCCCACAGGGACUCUGUGUGGGGGCUCCAACCCCACAUUUCCCUCCUGCACUGUUCUAGCAGAGGUUCUCCAUGAGGACCCCACCCCUGCAGCUAACUUCUACCUGGGCAUCCAGGCAUUUCCAUGUAGCUUUUGAAAUCUAGGCAGAGGUUCCCAAACCUCAAUUCUUGACUUCUAUGCACCCACAGGCUCAACACCUCAUGGAAGCUGCCAAGACUACCAUCUAAAGCUAUGGCUCUACAUUGACCCCUUUCAGCCAUAGCUGGAGUAGCUGGGACAUGGGGCA